rnacentral:lncRNA from 1 species
GAGGACAAAACGGUCUGAAAGUCGGAAAAAAAUUCGGCAGUGGCUAGAAAUUGAUGGAAACGGUGGGGAAAAACACAUGAACUAGACUCUAGCAAGGCCUAACCAGCAACAAGACAUCGACUAGGACACAAACUCAACACUGCAGACUCUAAGACUGAAAUAUGCAAAGGCUAUGGCUUGAAAGGUUUGUAGGACAGGAAAACGAUAUGACACUGGACUUAUAGGACGAACACAAGAACACUCAAAACUAAGGAUAGAUGUGAAUCUAACGGUAUACCUAAAGCUUUGAUUACCACUUGAUGAGAACAAGGGUGGCCUGAUCUUCCGAAAGGUUCUAGUAACUCUCGAUUUGGUGGAGACGAGACACAAAUCGAUUUGGCUUUCGAACAACACGAUCCGAAACCCUGCAUUUUUUUAUUUUUUUUAUAUUUUUCUUUUACCUAGGAGCACUAAAAAGUAACCACAAAAAAUUUGUGCUUAAACAAGUGAAAGACGUGGCCUGCAGAAUUUUCUAAAGAUUGCGAAAAAUGUGAAAAAAACUUCAUGAGGAGAAAACUCAAACUUUGGAGGCAAAUUUCAAGAUAAAAUUAUCAAACCCGCUAAAGUCACAGACAGACAGAUCUGAAAUUUUUUUAUGAUCGAAUUUGAUAUAGGUAACGUUGAAAUCAGAGUUUGUAUGUGAAAGUUAUGGUUUGUUUACAAAUGCACUUCGAAAUACAGGAAAAAACGGUCCAGAAGUGGGAAAAAUUUGCGGCGCUGGCUAGAAAUUGAUGGAAACGGUGGGGAAAACACACGAACUGGACUCUAACAAGACCUAACCAGCAACAAGACCUCGACCAGGACACAAACUCAACACUGCGGACUCUGAAACUGAAAUAUGCAAAGGUUAUGGCGCGGAAGGGAUGUAGGACAGGAAAACGAUAUGGCACUGGACUUAUGGGACGAACACAAGAACACUCAAAACUAAGGGUAGACAUGAACCUAACGGUAUACCUGAAGCUUUGAUUACCACUUGAUGAGAACAAGGGUGGCCCGAUCUUUCGAAAGGUUCUGGUAACUCUUGAUUUAGUGGAGACGAGACACAAAUCGAUCCGGCUUCGGAACAACACGAUCCGAAACCCUGCAAUUUUUUUUAUUUUUUUGAUAUUUUAUUUUACUUAGGAGCACUAAAGAAGUAACCACAAAAAAUUUGAGCUUAAACAAGUGAAACACAUGGCCUGCGGAAUUUUCUGAAGAUUGCGAAAAAUAUGAAAAAAACUUCACGAGGUUAAAACUCAAACUUCGGAGGCGAAUUUGGAGAUUCUAAAAUUUUCAAGCCCGCUAGUACUAGGGACAGGCAGAUCCAAAAAUUUUUCUGAUCGAUUUUGAUAUAUAGAACGUUGAAUUCAGAGUUCGUAUGCGAAAGUUGUAGCUGUUUUAUGAACAGACUCCAAAUUAGAGGACAAAAUGGUCCGAAAGUGGGAAAAAUUUGUGGCGGUGGCUAGAAAUUGAUAGAAACGGUGGGAAAAACACACGAACUGGACUCUAACAAGACCUAACCAGCAACAAGACCUCAACUAGGACACAAACUCAACACCGCGGACUCUAAAACUGAAAUAUGCAAAGGCUAUGGCGCGGAAGGGUUGUAGGACAGGAAAACAAUAUGGCACUAUACUUAUGGGACAAACACAAGAACACUCGAAACUAAGAGUAGAUGUGAACCUAACGGUAUACCUAAAGCUUUGAUUACCACUUGAUGAGAAGAAGGGUGGCCCGAUCUUCCGAAAGGUUCUAGUAACUCUCGAUUUGGUGGAGACGAGACACAAAUCGAUCCGGCUUGCGAACAACACGAUCCGAAACCCUGCAAUUUUAUUUUAUUUUUUCGAUAUUUUUCUUUUACUUAGGAGCACUGAAUAAGUAACCAUAGAAAAUUUGAGCUUAAACAAGUGAAAUACGUGGCCUGCGGAAUUUUUUGAAGAUUGCAAAAAAUGUGAAAAAACAUCACGAGGUGAAAACUCAAACUUCGGAGGCAAAUUUAUAGAUUCUAAAAUUUUCAAACCUGCCAAUGGAAGGAACAGACAGAUCAAAAAAAAAUUUUUAGAUCGAUUUUGCUAUAUGGAACGUUGAAAUCGGAGUUCAUAUGUGAAAGUUAUGGUUGUUUUAAUAACGGACUCCGAAUUAGAGGACAAAACGGUGCGAAAGUGGGAAAAAAUUUCGGCAGUGGCUAGAAAUUGAUGGAAACGGUGGGGAAAAACACACGAACUGGACUCUAACAAGACCUAACCAGCAACAAGACAUCGACUAGGACACAAACUCAACACUGCGGACUCUAAGACUAAAAUAUGCAAAGGCUAUGGCUUGAAAGGUUUGUAGGACAGGAAAACGAUAUGACACUGGACUUAUGGGACGAACACAAGAACACUCAAAACUAAGGAUAGAUGUGAAUCUAACGAUAUACCUAAAGCUUUGAUUACCACUUGAUGAGAACAAGGGUGGCCUGAUCUUCCGAAAGGUUCUAGUAACUCUCGAUUUGGUGGAGACGAGACACAAAUCGAUUUGGCUUUCGAACAACCCGAUCCGAAACCCUGCAUUUUUUUUAUUUUUUUUAUAUUUUUCUUUUACCUAGGAGCACUAAAAAGUAACCACAAAAAAUUUGUGCUUAAACAAGUGAAAGACGUGGCCUGCAGAAUUUUCUGAAGAUUGCGAAAAAUGUGAAAAAACUUCAUGAGGAGAAAACUCAAACUUUGGAGGCAAAUUUUAAGAUAAAAUUAUCGAACCCGCUAAAGUCACAUACAGACAGAUCUGAAAUUUUUUUAUGAUCGAAUUUGAUAUAGGUAACGUUGAAAUCAGAGUUUGUAUGUGAAAGUUAUGGUUUGUUUACAAAUGCACUCCGAAAUAGAGGAAAAACGGUCCAGAAGUGGGAAAAAUUUGCGGCGCUGGCUAGAAAUUGAUGAAAAUAGUGGGGAAAAACACACGAACAGGACUCUAACAAGACCCAACCAGCAACAAGACCUCGACCAGGACACAAACUCAACACUGCGGACUCUGAAACUGAAAUAUGCAAAAGCUACGGCGCGGAAGGGAUGUAGGACAAGAAAACGAUAUGGCACUAGACUUAUGGGACGAACACAAGAACACUCGAAACUAAGGGUAGAUGUGAACCUAACGGUAUACCUGAAGCUUUGAUUACCACUUGAUGAGAACAAGGGUGGCCCGAUCUUCCGAAAGGUUCUGGUAACUCUCGAUUUAGUGGAGACGAGACACAAAUCGAUCCGGCUUCAGAACAACACGAUCCAAAACCCUACAAUUUUUUUUAUUUUUUUUGAUAUUUUAUUUUACUUAGGAGCACUAAAGAAGUAACCACGGAAAAUUUGAGCUUAAACAAGUGAAAGACAUGGCCUGCGGAAUUUUCUGAAGAUUGCGAAAAAUGUGAAAAAAACUUCACGAGGUUAAAACUCAAACUUCGGAGGCGAAUUUGGAGAUUCUAAAAUUUUCAAGCCCGCUAGUACUAGGGACAGGCAGAUCCAAAAAUUUUUCUGAUCGAUUUUGAUAUAUAGAACGUUGAAAUCAGAGUUCGUUGCGAAAGUUGUGGCUGUUUUAUGAACAGACUCCAAAUUAGAGGACAAAACGGUCUGAAAGUGGGAAAAAAUUGUGGCGGUGGCUAGAAAUUGAUGGAAACGGUGGGAAAAAACACACGAACUAGACUCUAACAAGACCUAACCAGCAACAAGACCUCAACUAGGACACAAACUCAACACCGCGGACUCUGAAACUGAAAUAUGAAAAGGCUAUGGCACGGAAGGGUUGUAGAACAGGAAAACAAUAUGGCACUAUACUUAUGGGACAAACACAAGAACACUCAAAACUAAGAGUAGAUGUGAACCUAACGGUAUACCUAAAGCUUUGAUUACCACUUGAUGAGAACAAGGGUGACCCGAUCUUCCGAAAGGUUCUAGUAACUCUCGAUUUGGUGGAGACGAGACACAAAUCGAUUUGGCUUUCGAACAACACGAUCCGAAACCCUGCAUUUUUUUAUUUUUUUUAUAUUUUUCUUUUACCUAGGAGCACUAAAAAGUAACCACAAAAAAUUUGUGCUUAAACAAGUGAAAGACGUGGCCUGCAGAAUUUUCUAAAGAUUGCGAAAAAUGUGAAAAAACUUCAUGAGGAGAAAACUCAAACUUUGGAGGCAAAUUUCAAGAUAAAAUUAUCAAACCCGCUAAAGUCACAGACAGACAGAUCUGAAAUUUUUUUAUGCUCGAAUUUGAUAUAGGUAACGUUGAAAUCAGAGUUUGUAUGUGAAAGUUAUGGUUUGUUUACAAAUGCACUUCGAAAUACAGGAAAAAACGGUCCACAAGUGGGAAAAAUUUGCGGCGCUGGCUAGAAAUUGAUGGAAACGGUGGGGAAAACACACGAACUGGACUCUAACAAGACCUAACCAGCAACAAGACCUCGACCAGGACACAAACUCAACACUGCGGACUCUGAAACUGAAAUAUGCAAAGGUUAUGGCGCGGAAGGGAUGUAGGACAAGAAAACGAUAUGGCACUGGACUUAUGGGACGAACACAAGAACACUCAAAACUAAGGGUAGACGUGAACCUAACGGUAUACCUGAAGCUUUGAUUACCACUUGAUGAGAACAAGGGUGGCCCGAUCUUUCGAAAGGUUCUGGUAACUCUCGAUUUAGUGGAGACGAGAUACAAAUCGAUCCGGCUUCGGAACAACACGAUCCGAAACCCUGCAAUUUUUUUUAUUUUUUUGAUAUUUUAUUUUACUUAGGAGCACUAAAGAAGUAACCACAAAAAAUUUGAGCUUAAACAAGUGAAAGACAUGGCCUGCGGAAUUUUCUGAAGAUUGCGAAAAAUAUGAAAAAAACUUCACGAGGUUAAAACUCAAACUUCGGAGGCGAAUUUGGAGAUUCUAAAAUUUUCAAGCCCGCUAGUACUAGGGACAGGCAGAUCCAAAAAUUUUUCUGAUCGAUUUUGAUAUAUAGAACGUUGAAUUCAGAGUUCGUAUGCGAAAGUUGUAGCUGUUUUAUGAACAGACUCCAAAUUAGAGGACAAAAUGGUCUGAAAGUGGGAAAAAUUUGUGGCGGUGGCUAGAAAUUGAUAGAAACGGUGGGAAAAACACACGAACUGGACUCUAACAAGACCUAACCAGCAACAAGACCUCAACUAGGACACAAACUCAACACCGCGGACUCUAAAACUGAAAUAUGCAAAGGCUAUGGCGCGGAAGGGUUGUAGGACAGGAAAACAAUAUGGCACUAUACUUAUGGGACAAACACAAGAACACUCGAAACUAAGAGUAGAUGUGAACCUAACGGUAUACCUAAAGCUUUGAUUACCACUUGAUGAGAAGAAGGGUGGCCCGAUCUUCCGAAAGGUUCUAGUAACUCUCGAUUUGGUGGAGACGAGACACAAAUCGAUCCGGCUUGCGAACAACACGAUCCGAAACCCUGCAAUUUUAUUUUAUUUUUUCGAUAUUUUUCUUUUACUUAGGAGCACUGAAUAAGUAACCAUAGAAAAUUUGAGCUUAAACAAGUGAAAUACGUGGCCUGCGGAAUUUUUUGAAGAUUGCAAAAAAUGUGAAAAAACAUCACGAGGUGAAAACUCAAACUUCGGAGGCAAAUUUAGAGAUUCUAAAAUUUUCAAACCUGCCAAUGGAAGGAACAGACAGAUCAAAAAAAAAAAAUUAGAUCGAUUUUGCUAUAUGGAACGUUGAAAUCGGAGUUCAUAUGUGAAAGUUAUGGUUGUUUUAAUAACGGACUCCGAAUUAGAGGACAAAACGGUGCGAAAGUGGGAAAAAAUUUCGGCAGUGGCUAGAAAUUGAUGGAAACGGUGGGGAAAAACACACGAACUGGACUCUAACAAGACCUAACCAGCAACAAGACAUCGACUAGGACACAAACUCAACACUGCGGACUCUAAGACUAAAAUAUGCAAAGGCUAUGGCUUGAAAGGUUUGUAGGACAGGAAAACGAUAUGACACUGGACUUAUGGGACGAACACAAGAACACUCAAAACUAAGGAUAGAUGUGAAUCUAACGAUAUACCUAAAGCUUUGAUUACCACUUGAUGAGAACAAGGGUGGCCUGAUCUUUCGAAAGGUUCUAGUAACUCUCGAUUUGGUGGAGACGAGACACAAAUCGAUUUGGCUUUCGAACAACACGAUAAGAAACCCUGCAUUUUUUUUAUUUUUUUUAUAUUUUUCUUUUACCUAGGAGCACUAAAAAGUAACCAAAAAAAAUUUGUGCUUAAACAAGUGAAAGACGUGGCCUGCAGAAUUUUCUGAAGAUUGCGAAAAAUGUGAAAAAAACUUCAUGAGGAGAAAACUCAAACUUUGGAGGCAAAUUUCAAGAUAAAAUUAUCGAACCCGCUAAAGUCACAGACAGACAGAUCUAAAAUUUUUUUAUGAUCGAAUUUGAUAUAGGUAACGUUGAAAUCAGAGUUUGUAUGUGAAAGUUAUGGUUUGUUUACAAAUGCACUCCGAAAUAGAGGAAAAACGGUCCAGAAGUGGGAAAAAUUUGCGGCGCUGGCUAGAAAUUGAUGAAAAUAGUGGGGAAAAACACACGAACAGGACUCUAACAAGACCCAACCAGCAACAAGACCUCGACCAGGACACAAACUCAACACUGCGGACUCUGAAACUGAAAUAUGCAAAGGCUACGGCGCGGAAGGGAUGUAGGACAAGAAAACGAUAUGGCACUAGACUUAUGGGACGAACACAAGAACACUCGAAACUAAGGGUAGAUGUGAACCUAACGGUAUACCUGAAGCUUUGAUUACCACUUGAUGAGAACAAGGGUGGCCCGAUCUUCCGAAAGGUUCUGGUAACUCUCGAUUUAGUGGAGACGAGACACAAAUCGAUCCGGCUUCAGAACAACACGAUCCAAAACCCUACAAUUUUUUUUAUUUUUUUUGAUAUUUUAUUUUACUUAGGAGCACUAAAGAAGUAACCACAGAAAAUUUGAGCUUAAACAAGUGAAAGACAUGGCCUGCGGAAUUUUCUGAAGAUUGCGAAAAAUGUGAAAAAAACUUCACGAGGUUAAAACUCAAACUUCGGAGGCGAAUUUGGAGAUUCUAAAAUUUUCAAGCCCGCUAGUACUAGGG